rnacentral:ncRNA from 1 species
UGAUAGCUGGGAAGCGUGAGGUUGCUGCCCGUUGUGGCAGGUUUUUCCGUGGAGCGAAUGUCAAGUUAAGAAACUGACGGCAA